CAGAUAGGGCCUUUUGCAAUAUGUAAACUUCAAUGGUGCGAGUACAUUUUUGCUAUACAAAUCUCUAUUGUAUUCUCUCGUACAAUCGUUAGCAUCUGAAUUUUUAAACUUGUUGUACAAAUAUUCAAUAUGUUCAGUUGCAUGGGAUCGACAUUGAGUUUACUAUCUUAUGUGAUCUGAUAAAUUAAGCUGUCGUUACUGAAAGAGCUUACUACCUGGAAAGUCAUAAACAAUGCGCCAUUUAAUACUCUCACCAUAAGCGUGUUUGAUCAAAGCACUCGGCAAUCUAAUGGAACUCAGCGUUGUUGCUUUAACUUAGGAUUCGGCUGUUGGAUCUAAAUUGUCUCGAAGGAAUUACUAAAAGUUCAAUAA